AAUCUUAUAGUUAAAUAUAAUAAUAUUAAAUUGCAAGUUUAAGGUUGAAUUGUAUUCUAAGAUUU
rnacentral:tRNA from 1 species